rnacentral:ncRNA from 1 species
UUAGGUCUGUGGUUGUAAAUCGAGGCCAGUUGCAGGCGAAACGAUCCACGUAAGCAAUCAAAGUAUUGUGAGCACGGUGCAGCUUAGGAGUAAGACCUGCCGCUAAAUGGCGAGAGUAGUAGUAGUGGGGAGCGCUAAUGCUUAGGAGCGAACCUGCCAGCAGGCGAGUGUGGGGGCGAAGACCAGGUCAGCUAGG